UGGUCCACUGAUGAUAACUGGUGGCUUUUGAAUCAUAUGGAAUGAAUACCUCAUUUCUAGAACCCUGAGGUCCAA
ensembl:snoRNA